rnacentral:rRNA from 1 species
GAUGAACGCUGGCGGUAUGCUUAACACAUGCAAGUCGAACGGACUCUUCGGAGUUAGUGGCGGACGGGUGAGUAACGCGUGAGAAUCUGGCUUUGGGUUCGGGACAACCACUGGAAACGGUGGCUAAUACCGGAUGUGCCGAGAGGUAAAAGAGAAAUUGCCUGAAGAUGAGCUCGCGUCUGAUUAGCUAGUUGGUGAGGUAAAGUCUCACCAAGGCAGCGAUCAGUAGCUGGUCUGAGAGGAUGACCAGCCACACUGGGACUGAGACACGGCCCAGACUCCUACGGGAGGCAGCAGUGGGGAAUGUUCCGCAAUGGGCGAAAGCCUGACGGAGCAAUACCGCGUGAGGGAAGAAGGCUCUUGGGUUGUAAACCUCUUUUCUUAGGGAAGAACAAAAUGACGGUACCUAAGGAAUCAGCAUCGGCUAACUCCGUG